GUGUGGUGGGAUGGUGUUUCACCCUCCCCCACGCUUUGCGUCGGGUGUGGCGAGAGGCGCGCCACUGAUUGGUGGGCGGGGCAGAUGCCUUUAAAGCUGGGUAAGUCGCUGCGAGGUGUGUGUGUGCCCUUGUUUCCUCCACUGUCUGCGCAAUUGGCGGCUGCAUGUUGGUGGUGUUUGGUCCACUCGUAUGAUAUCGUAAGUGCCAUUUUUGCUAUCCGGGCUGGGAUCGUGGUUGGUUUUGUUGGGUGCUACACCUGUCGUGCGUUUCCGCAGUGCGGCUCUGCUGGCGUUGCCGGCCGCGGCUGGAGGUUGUGGUGGUGUGUGGCUUCUGCCUAGUCUUCGCCUGCUGAUCUGCUCCCUCCUGGUGUAGGCUGUGUCUCCAUCCCUGGGCAACUGAGUGUUGGGAGCUGCAGUGCUUUGGACGCUCUGCUGCUUUGUCUUAUCACUGUUUGUUCUGGCCGCUCUCCGCUGAGCCUGUUGUGGAUUGGGCAGGCUGGUGGGCGGGGCAUUACUCCUCUGGCCCCCA